CACGUAGGGGGCUAGCGUUGCUCGGAAUCACUGGGCGUAAAGGGUGCGUAGGCGGGUCUUUUAAGUCAGGGGUGAAAUCCUGGAGCUCAACUCCAGAACUGCCUUUGAUACUGAAGAUCUUGAGUUCGGGAGAGGUGAGUGGAACUGCGAGUGUAGAGGUGAAAUUCGUAGAUAUUCGCAAGAACACCAGUGGCGAAGGCGGCUCACUGGCUCGAUACUGACGCUGAGGCACGAAAGCGUGGGGAGCAAACAGG
rnacentral:rRNA from 1 species